CACAGUUGUACUCGUAUUUAAAUUAUUUGUUGUAUUUGAUAAUUUAAUAUGUAUCAUAGAAAUUUUGAACAUCCACCUUGGAGUGUUAAUAAAUUAUGUUCUCAACUACACAUGACUUGUUAUUUAUUGCAUAAAGAUGUAGGUUAAUUUGGUAAAGCUAUUAAACUAGGAGGAGGCUAGGUAAGGAGAUAUUACUUGGUGUUUUAAUGUGGUAAAUCUUCUGUUAAAUUACAACUGAGAUUAUGCAAGUAACAUACUAAAAAAAGCUGGUGCAUCAAUGAUAUGUCUGCAGGUACUCACUGUGUGGGCUGUCGCCGUUCUGCCUCUACCAGUGUAGUGAUAUGAGACCAGAGCUAUAGUGCAGAGUAAAUGUAACUGGUCACUUAAAUUAAUUAAUUUCUCAGAAUUAAUUGUAUCUUUAUAAAAAAACAGGACCCAUAAUGUUUUUCAUCACAUGACACACAACAUUUAUAUUGUGGAGUGGAAAUUGCUGUGUAUGAUAUGGAUUUCUUGUGCUUCGGUAUCUUUUGUUUUCUGUGACCACACGUCAGUGCAAGUAAAAUAUGAAGUAUGUCAAACUGAGGAUGAAGUUAGUGUUAGAUAUGUAUAAUGUCGAUGAUGUAUUAAACGCUGCCUUACUAUUCA